rnacentral:tRNA from 1 species
GAGCUUAGUUGAAAUACAAUAAGGGUCUGUCAGUUCCUUGGUGCAGGUUAAAUUCUUGUAGUUCCAUG